GGCAAAUCAGCGGAACCGCGUCAAGUGGAAAUCAGUGCUUUUGAGGAACAUGAAAUCCAUUUUGUGGGAAGGCCUAAUUUCCACGAUAUGUUCUCCAAGUUUCCAAAUGAAACUGAAGGAUCUGAUGUUGGAGUCUUGGUUUGUGGACCUGAAACUAUGAAGGAGUCGGUAGCAUCAUUAUGCCAGCUCAAGUCACAAGGCUUCAAUGUAGGUGCCGAGGGAAAGAAACCAUACUACAGUUUCCACUCCCUCAACUUCACUCUCUAGUCUACACACUAAUAUCAACUACUUGGACACAAGAAAUUCUAGCCCAAAAGUAUAGGUAGCCCUACUCUUUUGUCUGUAUCAGUAUUAAUGCCUGUGCAAGUAGUGUAAAUUGGCUCUAGCCUUCUCCUUCCAAAAUGUGAUCAUAUGUGCAGUAAAUUUCCGCUUCAAGCUUGUGCAAUUUGCCUUAAUUUGCAGCAGAUUGAUUUCUAUCUUCAAGACGAAAUAGCAAUUCAGUUUUUUCCCC
rnacentral:misc_RNA from 1 species